ACAACAUUCGGACUGUCGGUCUACCGAGCAAUAUCACUCGCUCGCUGGAAGAUCUUCCUACGAUAU
rnacentral:pre_miRNA from 1 species